rnacentral:lncRNA from 1 species
AUAUAACAAUAAUAUGGUAGGAUCAUGAAUGAGAAAUAUGAUAUGAAUGCUUUGGUGAUAUUAUGCAAAUGUGGAUUUCGUAUUGUUGCAUGGUUAUGUUACUUGCUAUUUACAUGUGAACUUACUAAACAAUUAUGCUUACUCCCUCCUCUCUAUUCUUUGUAGUUUUGUCAAGCUGGCUAGGAGAUCGGGAACGGUCGGAGGCGCGCUCACACUAUCAACAAACUAUUUCGGUAUAAUGACUUGUAUAUUUUGGGAAUAUGGCAUGUAUAGC